rnacentral:rRNA from 1 species
UACGAAGGGGGCGAGCGUUGUUCGGAUUUACUGGGCGUAAAGGGCGCGCAGGCGGUCUUGAAAGUCAGGCGUGAAAGCCCCGGGCUUAACCUGGGAAUUGCGCUUGAUACUCUGAGACUGAGUACGGGAGAGGAGAGUGGAAUUCCAGUGUAGAGGUGAAAUUCGUAGAUAUUGGAAGAACACCAGUGGCGAAGGCGGCUCUCUGGACCGUAACUGACGCUGAGGCGCGAAAGCGUGGGGAGCAAACAGG